UAGAAUCAAUAUAAGGAUGUAUGUAGUAGGAGAGUAAUAUUUUUAAAAAUAAAAACCUACUAAUAAUUAUAUCACAAUAAUAAACAAACUACAAAGACAAGGGCUAAAACAAAAACAAAACAAAAAUAUAGCUAAACAUAUAAAAAAGCCUAGAGGAAACACAUAAACAAAAAAAAAAACUAAAAACCAAAGAUAAUUAAAUACUUAGUAAAAACAACUGAAAACAAUGAACGUCCAAAACUGAGAAAUUAAAAAAUAAAGAUAUUGUAG
rnacentral:lncRNA from 1 species